GGCUCGUUGGUCUAGGGGUAUGAUUCUCGCUUUGGGUGCUAGAGGUCUCGGGUUCAAAUCCCGGACGAGCCC
rnacentral:tRNA from 1 species